CUCACUUGGAUUACAAACCCUAACAUUCUAAUAAUGACAACAAGCUAUAAGCUCGUAGGCGUAGCAACUUGUUAUACGAACAGUCUGUAUUAUAUAGUCUUGUUGGAACAACUUGCAGCAAGUCUGUAACCGUCAACAACCUGGUUUAUGGUGUUAUACCAUUCGUUUCCUUUAAUAAAAUACUAUUAUCAUAACCCCUAUUAAGCGGACACCCCUCUUUAACGGACGCGGACACCGUAAUUGAGGUCCCAAUGGGCAAACCAACCUCUCUUAAGCGGACCAGAUGACAGAUGACAGAUUGUCUGAUAAAAUGUAUAUUCAAUAUUCGACAGUAAAUAACAAUUGAGAUCAAUUUACAUGGCACAUUGACUAUGACACACUAACUUGGCGCGAAGACAUCAGAGCCAAAAUUACCGAGGAAGUGACGAACGACGACAGAGGACUGUGAACCGUCAGCCGAGGAGCCGAAAGAUAUGUGUCAAAUCACUGAUGAUGACAACGAACUGAACGAAGAUGAUGAAUUGGACUGAUCUCUUAACGAACCAGUCAUUAAAUCGUCCUCCAAAGCCCUUAAAGUUGUCGAGCGGCUGGCAGAAUUCGCACAAUUUCGAGGUUUGGAAGAACUUUCCAACGCCAUUUUUAUGUAAAUGACAUUAUAAUGGCUAUCGCUGCGUGAGCCUCGAAAGCAAACUUGUAUCGAUUCCUUUUUUAUAUGACUGCGAGAGACGUAUACAUUUUCUAAUGAACUUUAAUUAUGUACAAAGAAAUUUUCAUUUUAUGCUAAUUAUUUGCUAGAUAUGUUUUACUGUUUUGACACUCAAAUUAUACACCUG